rnacentral:rRNA from 1 species
AUACGGAGGGUGCAAGCGUUGUUCGGAUUUACUGGGCGUAAAGCGUGCGCAGGCGGUUUUGUAAGUCAGAUGUGAAAUCCCCGGGCUUAACCUGGGAACUGCGUUUGAAACUGCAAGGCUAGAGUGUGGCAGAGGGGGGUGGAAUUCCGCGUGUAGCAGUGAAAUGCGUAGAGAUGUGGAGGAACACCGAUGGCGAAGGCAGCCCCCUGGGUUAACACUGACGCUCAGGCACGAAAGCAUGGGGAGCAAACAGGAUUAGAUACCCCAGUAGUCC